CAUAGGAGAUUUCAAGCCAUCCGUUUGAGCGAGUUCCACGCAUUGCACGCACGAACAAACACGUAGAGAAAUUAAUUGAUUCUGCUGGGAUCAUAGACGCACGCACUGAAAAGAGAUAGAUAAUUUUUUCCUUUCGUUUGGAGGACGCUGCGACUGAGAAGCUGCGACUGCGAGGAGCAUUUUUCAGUGUUCAUUUUCUUUCCAUUAUUCUUAGAAACAUUAUGGUGUGUUUUUGACUUUGGAUGCGCUGUGCUAGAUCUCAUGACAUUACUCCUUUUGAUCCGGAGAUUGAAAGAACUCUUAGAUCACGAAGAAAAAAUAAAAUACUAGCCAUGGCUGACGGACAGCAUGAUGCACUGCCACGCACCUUGAAGGAUUAUGUACAUCCAAUUAUGAAUGAAACUACUCAGAUAUAAGAUGCCAAGUCAUUAAUGCCAACAACUUUGACCUCAAA